GAUCCAGCAUCCCUUCCUCGCCUCCCUGCCUUUUCCCGUAAGCAGGAAGGAAAGAGCAAGGGAGCAGCCCCGGGGGCGGCUGCGUCACCCGUGGCAGGGAGCACGGGGGCCCGGGAGCUGCCCUCGCCGGUGACACCGCGGCCGGAGGGGACGGGGACACCGGCAGGGCCCAAGGAGCCCGAGUCCUCGAGCCAUCACGGCACGGCGACAACGCUCCGAGCGGCGAAAAGCCCCUAGAAAACCAGCAAGUUUUCCUGGCGUUCCCGGCAGCGGGGAGAGGGGGGGGGAAUUACGCCCCGAAAAAGGUCACGGCGCAGCUCUUCCACAAGCCUGCCAAGCGCAACGGGCGCCUCCUUCCUCCCGCGGGGAUGGGGAGGGCCGGGGGGGCACCCUGGGCGCCGGCUGUCCCCAAAAACGCUGCUCCCACCCCCCCGCCACCCAAGCAAGCCCGGCUCCGCACCGAGAUCCCAGCACAGCUGGAGCCACGGAGCAGCGAAACGUACGGGAAAGGGCCGGAGAAAGGGCGCGUGGGCGCCGGCAGAAACCACCGCCACGCGUCCGUGUCCCCCCCAACACGCACAGCGCAGGGGCUGGCGGAGCGGGAAACAGGAUCUCCCGGCCGGGGAAGGGAAAAGAUCAACACAAAGCCCGGAGCCACGUCUCCGUUUGCAGGACUCUAUUUCGGUGUUUGGCACAACGCUCCAGCGCGGUUUCGCCCGAAAGAAAAAGCUCAACGGACGCAGCGGAGCUGCAGCUCCGGCCGCUGCCCGCGUCCUUCCCGCUCGGCUGCGGGAGCCGGGUUUGCAGGGCCAAGCCGCAGCUCCCAGAGCUCCGGGAGAGCCGGGUUCCCUGGGGAAAAAGCCCCGGCUCGCUUCCCCGCUGGCGCUGCAGCCUUCCUCGCCAAAGAGCAACGAGCGGAGCAGGGAGCAUCCCAAAGUCCUCGCGGCUCUCGGGCCCUUUUUGCUGGCUCGCGCUGCACCGGCCCCAUUCGGGAAAGGAGYGCGGGGAGAGAAACGGGCACUCGCACCGAGCUGCGUUCCCUCCGCUCGCUGGCGAACGAGCCGCCCCAGCAGAUCAGCCGCGGUAGGGGAGACGCUUCCGGCGAGGAAGAGGAGCGGGACACAGGGGAAGAACAUAGAAAAGACACGACCGUACAAAAAGGUUUCCGAGCCAGGAAGCGCGAGGCGGCCGGGGCAGCGACCGCGUGGGCAGCGCGGGCGAGGAGAGCGGCCCGGCUGCUCUGCGUGUGCCGAGAUGCCAGGAUGGGGAGCCGGCGGCNNNNNNNNNNNNNNNNN
rnacentral:lncRNA from 1 species